GAGAGAUGGUCGAGUGGUUUAAGGCAGCGGUCUUGAAAACCGCCGAGGUGCAAGCCUCCGGGGGUUCGAAUCCCCCUCUCUCC
rnacentral:tRNA from 1 species